CCUACGGGGGACAGCAGUGAGGAAUAUUGGUCAAUGGACGAGAGUCUGAACCAGCCAAGUAGCGUGAAGGAUGACUGCCCUAUGGGUUGUAAACUUCUUUUAUAUGGGAAUAAAAUGUUCCACGUGUGGGAUUUUGUAUGUACCAUAUGAAUAAGGAUCGGCUAACUCCGUGCCAGCAGCCGCGGUAAUACGGAGGAUCCGAGCGUUAUCCGGAUUUAUUGGGUUUAAAGGGAGCGUAGGUGGAUUGUUAAGUCAGUUGUGAAAUUUUGCGGCUCAACCGUAAAAUUGCAGUUGAAACUGGCAGUCUUGAGUGCAGUAGAGGUGGGCGGAAUUCGUGGUGUAGCGGUGAAAUGCUUAGAUAUCACGAAGAACUCCGAUUGCGAAGGCAGCUCACUGGACUGCAACUGACACUGAGGCUCGAAAGUGUGGGUAUCAAACAGGAUUAGAUACCCCUGUAGUC
rnacentral:rRNA from 1 species